rnacentral:rRNA from 1 species
UACGUAGGGUGCGAGCGUUAAUCGGAAUUACUGGGCGUAAAGGGUGCGCAGGUGGGUUUGCAAGUUUGAUGUGAAAGCCCCGGGCUUAACCCGGGAAUGGCAUUGAAUACUGCAGAUCUGGAGGAUUGGAGGGGGGACUGGAAUUCUUGGUGUAGCAGUGAAAUGCGUAGAUAUCAAGAGGAACACCAGUGGCGAAGGCGAGUCCCUGGACAAUACCUGACACUGAGGCACGAAAGCCAAGGGAGCAAACAGG